GGUGGUGUGGUGUAAUGGUAGCACGUCAGAUUGUGGCUCUGUCAAUCUGGGUUCGAUUCCCAGCACCGCCA